UCCAGGUGUAGCGGUGAAAUGCGUAGAGAUCUGGAGGAAUACCGGUGGCGAAGGCGGCCCCCUGGACAAAGACUGACGCUCAGGUGCGAAAGCGUGGGGAGCAAACAGGAUUAGAUACCCUGGUAGUCCACGCCGUAAACGAUGUCGACUUGGAGGUUGUGCCCUUGAGGCGUGGCUUCCGGAGCUAACGCGUUAAGUCGACCGCCUGGGGAGUACGGCCGCAAGGUUAAAACUCAAAUGAAUUGACGGGGGCCCGCACAAGCGGUGGAGCAUGUGGUUUAAUUCGAUGCAACGCGAAGAACCUUACCUACUCUUGACAUCCAGAGAACUUUCCAGAGAUGGAUUGGUGCCUUCGGGAACUCUGAGACAGGUGCUGCAUGGCUGUCGUCAGCUCGUGUUGUGAAAUGUUGGGUUAAGUCCCGCAACGAGCGCAACCCUUAUCCUUUGUUGCCAGCGGUCCGGCCGGGAACUCAAAGGAGACUGCCAGUGAUAAACUGGAGGAAGGUGGGGAUGACGUC
rnacentral:rRNA from 1 species